rnacentral:tmRNA from 1 species
GGGGGUGAAAUUGGUUUCGACGGGAUUGAAGAGGCUAAGAACUGCGUAUCGUGUUCCCCGAAGACACGUUAAAAAAUUGGGACAAAACAUUAACUGGCGAAUAUAAUUACGCCCUCGCUGCGUAGGUAAACUACGGAGCCGUUCCUUAAGUCUUCGCGUAUAGGGAUUUAAUCGAACGUCGUUUAUGUACGAUAGCCUAGCGGAGUGUCUGUGACCGUAAAGCGAAUUUAAAGCAGGCAGGCUUAAAGCGAUCCUUGUUUGUUUGGUAACUUUAAGUUAAAACAAAAACAAACUAUGUAUGUAGACGUUCUUGGUGUCUUAAUUUCGGACGCGGGUUCGACUCCCGCCACCUCCACAA